rnacentral:rRNA from 1 species
GGAGGAUGCGAGCGUUAUCCGGAUUUAUUGGGUUUAAAGGGUGCGUAGGUGGUAAUUUAAGUCAGCGGUGAAAGUUUGUGGCUCAACCAUAAAAUUGCCGUUGAAACUGGGUUACUUGAGUGUGUUUGAGGUAGGCGGAAUGCGUGGUGUAGCGGUGAAAUGCAUAGAUAUCACGCAGAACUCCAAUUGCGAAGGCAGCUUACUAAACCAUAACUGACACUGAAGCACGAAAGCGUGGGUAUCAAA